rnacentral:lncRNA from 1 species
UCCACUCGUCCAUGGGCUGGCCUGUUGGACACCUGUGCGGGGUCGUGCCUUCACGUCCAGCAUGCGGGGCAGCGCACAGACCUCUCGCAGGUGUGUCCGCAUCCCCUCUCGGAGCUAGCGGCCUCGCGGUCCCUACGCGGCAGCAGCGCAGGCAUCGUUGAUCUACGAGUUCGAUCUCUCUCCUCUCACUCUCUCUACUUAAUUUGAUAGCAGGAGAUGGAGGCUCGCCGGGAGGCGGCCGUCGCCCCGGUAGCGGCCUCGAUUCGGAGAUUUCCGAGCCAAGGCGCGAACACGGCAUCGAUAUGGAGAUUUCAUUCCGAGCCAAGGCGAGAACGACGGCAGUUGGGCGUGCGACGGGAUGAGAGCUCGAGUAUGAGCUCCUACAUCUGAGAGCUUG